CAAUAGCACGGCGAGAUUGACGCCGGAAAUGGCCAGAAAACGUAGAAAUGUUGCUCCGACUGCUACCGUUGUUCCUCCUAAGCUAGUUACACCUGCUCAUGGCAUUACAACUACUCUCGAACCCCUAACAUUUGGUAACUUCCUUCCACAGAAGUACCAAUCGAAGGAAAAUUCACAUGCAGAGAUUGAAGAAGCAGUUAAGGCUCGAUCGAAGGGAAAUGAUGAGA
rnacentral:lncRNA from 1 species